CCCUAGUGUGGCCUACUGUUUUGAGCACUGGACUACGACUCUGGAGACCAGGGUUCGAAUCUCUGCUUAGUGA